rnacentral:lncRNA from 1 species
GGACCCUCCGAGCCAGGUGCCGGAUAUAAUCUCGUGGUGCGCCGUUUUUUUAAGCCCGCCGGAAAAGCGCAGUAUUCGGGUGGGAGUGACCCGAUUUUCCAGGUGCCGUCCGUCACCCCUUUCUUUGACUCGGAAAGGGAACUCCCUGACCCCUUGCGCUUUCUGAGUGAGGCAGUGCCUCGCCCUGCUUCGGCUCGCACACGGUGCGCGCACCCACUGACCUGCGCCCACUGUCUGGCACUCCCUAGUGAGAUGAACCCGGUACCUCAGAUGGAAAUGCAGAAAUCACCCGUCUUCUGCGUCGCUCACGGUGGGAGCUGUAGACUGGAGCUGUUCCUAUUCGGCCAUCUUGGCUCCUCCGCAUUUGUUUUUAUGGUGGUUUUGUAUUGUUUUUAUAGAGCUGCCCUCACAUGCUUCAGCAACAUUAGAUGUUCUGGAGACUGGAAAGUCCAAGAUCAUGGUGCCUGAGGAUUCAGUGUCUGAUAUAUUGCUGCCUGUAACCAGACAAAAAGCCCUGAUGCCUUUCUGGAUAGGUGAUGAGAAAAUAGCAUGAGAACAACGUAAAUUUAAAUUUGAAAUAUAUUCUCGCAAUGUAACUCUACCUAGUAAAUUUUUGAAUUUACUCAAAUAA